GAAGUUAGAUGGUGAUGAUUUGAUCUCCUAGAUCCUUGUUGGGAUGGAAAAUGACUACAAUCCGUUCGUCGACA
rfam:Triticum urartu cultivar G1812 contig861885, whole genome shotgun sequence.